CUCGCGCCCUCUUCCCUCAGGUGAGAACUCGCCGUCCGUCGGCGUCGUCGAGGCUCCUGAGGAGACGCUUUUCUGCCCGUUCCUUCCUCAGAACACUACAAGGGUAUUCAAGCCUUUUCCUUGCCCAGCGGGGCUUUGAAACUUUUCGAGGGACACGGGAAUGACUGACUGACUGACCGACUGACUGACCGACUCUUGACGGACAUGAGGCUAUGGUAGGUUACACUGGCAGCUUCGGGAUGGGCGUGUGGUAGUUGAUGGGAUGGCAGAAGAGAGGGGGGGAGAGAGAGAAAGAGAGAGAGAGAGAGAGAGAGAAAGAAAGAAAAGAAAGAAAGAAAGAGAAAGAGGGCAUAAUUGUUUUUCUUCCUCUUACCGUAUCUUUGGAUGACCUACGUCUCUUGAAGCUGGAGGCCAGGGUAGAGGUGAUGGACCUAAAAGUGGCUUUCUUUUUAGGGUCUGGUUCUGCUCUACCACUUUUUCUAUCCUAAAAUGAAUAUGUAUAUAAGCGAUUAGAUCUCCAGUGGGUGGCUUGGACCUCUACACCUACAUGAACACUGCCCCACGGUCCUUGGUUUGCCUUGGUCUUUUUUUUUUCCUUCCGGCUCGCUUUCUGACAUUGGCGGUGGCAGUGGUCAAGACCACGACUGAGUCAUCCUUACGGCUGUCAGUCCCAAAAGUGGCACUGACUCUGGGUCCUGGCGCUGGGCGAGGGCCAGUGCGUGGCUUGGUCUGAAGGAGGACAGCGUUUCAAUUGGAGGAAAGGAGCCCCUGAAGGGGAGCGGAGGGGCAGGGAGGGGGCGGUGGGCGCUAUAGGUCAGAGGCCUCCAGUGGGAGUGGUCUUCCCCCAGAGAGAGAAAGAGAGAGAGAGAGAGCCGUGGGGUCCCUGGGGGAGCCGCCUGCGCCCUACCCCUUUCCUGUCACGGCUGGCCUGACUAGAGGGAGAGGCGAGACACUUUCACCUACCACUAAAUAAAAAUGCUCGGGGCCUUUUCUGAAGCUGAAUCCUACGGCCACAAGAGAGAGAGAGGACUGCAUUGAAAGAGAAGGUCAUUGUAUGUUAAAAAAAGGUAUUCCAAAAAAUUUCAAUGACGCUAGGCGCAAAGCUUGAACUGUUUUUUUUUUGUUUUUUCCCGAAAUCAUAUUAUAAAAAACAACAACAAAAAAACUAUAACAAGAACAGAACUUCUGAAACGAGGAAAAGAAAGGGAAGAAGCAAAGCGUUUUAGGCUUUGAAUGAUGUUAGGGUCAGCAGGAACUCAAAGGAACAGAACCAAAGAGAAAAAAACCACAGCGGCAGAGCUGAGCGGUAGGCGGCCGGACCUGGUCCACGGGGCAGAGAGCGGGCAGAAGGGACCCCAGGCCAAUCUCCCCACUUCCCCUCCUUUUCCUGGACCCCUUUGUGGAUGUGGGGUGACAGUGGUGGCUGGGACCAGGUCUGGCCCUACCCGCCCAUGGUGGGGGUGACCAAAAAUGUAUCCCGCUGGUGCAUGGAGCAUGCACAGGGGAUACAUUUCCUCCUCCUUUUCGGUUAUUUUUUUUUCUCGGUUUUUUUGUUGCAUGCAUGCACAGAAAAAGAAAAGCUAGCGAGAAGAGAAUGGGAUGGGAUGACUUUUUUUUUGUGCCUUCCCAUGGCAUUGCCAGAAAUAGCCAUGGCAAAACUGUGAUUUCCCCCAGAAACAAAAGAAGAAGAAAAAAGAAAAAGAACCCAUUAUAGAUAUAUUUGCUUUUUUUUUUGUUUUUUUUUUCUUGAACAAAGAAAUCUUUCCACUUGCCUACCUUCUAGCAAUGUACCAGAUACUAGUGGUCUGAGGAAUCCUCCUGUGAAAAAGUCUUACAUUGUCAAACGGAUCUAAUGAGCGUACUUCUUUGUAUCUUUGUCAUAAUAUCCCGUGGGGUGGCAUGCUUGGCUGGCAGCCCCAAAGAGUCUGUCCCCCCCCACAAUGGCCCCGGGCAGGGUUUUUUCUAGAAAGUUGGCAAGUGAAAAAUGACAGUGACUAAUGUGCUCUGGUUCCCUGCACAUUGCACCCCUUUGGUACGGCUGCCUGGGAUUUUGGGGGGCAAGGGAGGGACAGAACGGGGGAAGGAGGCAGGGACGGAGGGAGAGAGGAAAAUGGAGGUGGGACGCAAGGACGUGGUAUUAGUGAGGAGCUCUUGGUCUGUUUAACUGGGUCAUGCGCCAGCUUGCCUUUCCCCUUCCGCUCUGCACCAGAGGCCCAGGCCUUUUCUAGCAGGAGGGGCAUUUGCAGGUUUCCCAAAACCUCCCUUGGGAAGUAAGCCUGGUUCUCUAAACUUGACCAACGGGCCUCGUUCUGGCCUGGCUUGGUUGGGAGAUCCUGGUAGGCUUUGGUUUCUUCUGAUUGUUUGCUUCUUUAACGUAAUAGAGCAGGGGUCCCCAAACUAAGGCCCGGGGGCCGGAUGCGGCCCUCCAAGGUCAUUUACCUGGCCCGCGCCCUCAUUUAUAAUAUAAUAUUUUUAUAUCCGUUUUAAUAAUGUAAUAUAUUGCAUAUACAGUAGAGUCUCACUUAUCCAAGCCUCGCUUAUCCAAGCCUCUGGAUAAUCCAAGCCAUUUUUGUAGUCAAUGUUUUCAAUAUAUCAUGAUAUUUUUGUGCUAAAUUCGUAAAUACAGUAAUUACAACAUAACAUUACUGCGUAUUGAACUACUUUUUCUGUCAAAUUUAUUGUAUAACAUGAUGUUUUGGUGCUUAAUUUGUAAAAUCAUAACCUAAUUUGAUGUUUAAUAGGCUUUUCCUUAAUCCCUCCUUAUUAUCCAAGAUAUUCGCUUGUCAUGGAGCCAGAUCCCAGGGCUGAAUUUCCAAGCCCUGAAUCUGACUUCAUAACAUAAACAAUCCUGCAAGCACCUGGCGGGAGAAGAUAAAAUGAGCCUGGGAACUCAGGGUUGAAAGUAUAAACAAUUAUAAUUGAUGUAGUGUGUGGGAAUGGUAGUAAUGUGAUCCAGGGGGUGGGAUUUGAUGAUGAUAUUUGCGUGUGGUAUUACGUUGCAUCAGAAGUGAUAAAAUUAGAUGUAUGUAAACAUUAGGUCAUUCUCGACUUUUCCAAAGUCAUGUAUUCUUCAAUAAAGAUUGGAUUUGAGAGCAGCUAUCUUU